GACGAACGCUGGCGGCGUGCUUAACACAUGCAAGUCGAGCGGAAAGGCUCCUUCGGGGGUACUCGAGCGGCGAACGGGUGAGUAACACGUGAGUAAUCUGCCCUGCGCUCUGGGAUAGCCACCGGAAACGGUGAUUAAUACCGGAUAUGACUGCUACCCGCAUGGGUUGGUGGUGGAAAGUUUUUCGGCGCAGGAUGUGCUCGCGGCCUAUCAGCUUGUUGGUGAGGUAAUGGCUCACCAAGGCUUUGACGGGUAGCCGGCCUGAGAGGGUGACCGGUCACACUGGGACUGAGACACGGCCCAGACUCCUACGGGAGGCAGCGGUGGGGAAUAUUGGACAAUGGGCGGAAGCCUGAUCCAGCAACGCCGCGUGAGGGAUGACGGCCUUCGGGUUGUAAACCUCUUUCAGUACCGACGAAGCGAGAGUGACGGUAGGUACAGAAGAAGGACCGGCCAACUACGUGCCAGCCGCCGCGGUAA
rnacentral:rRNA from 1 species